rnacentral:lncRNA from 1 species
UGAGAACCAAGUGGUGGAUGAACACAGCUGCCAGACAGGGUUUCAAUGAGCCAUGAAGGGGCAAAUAAGCAGGAGAAGGUUGAGACAGGAAGAAAAGGGCAUAAAACAGUGGAAGUGUAUGUAAGAACUUCCAUUUCCAGAGGGAAACAGGAUUCACUACACUUGCCUUUGAUUACGCUUUGUCUACCGGGUGCUUGUUUCUCUCCUCUGCCAAUUCAAAUUAUGUGACAUCUACCAAGAAGAAAGUCAAGUCCUACUCUCUUCUCUCCAUUGCAGCUUCAGAGCAUAUGACAGCUCUGUUGAUGGCUGGAGGCAGACCUGCAAACAUUCUGGGGCUGACAAGCCAAAACAGUAUUGCAAAGACAAAGAGAAUCAACUUUUAAUUUAUGUAUCACUUUGGAUUUUUCCCACUGCCAAUCAGAUUUCUGGGCGAGAGCUCCUCAUGAAUUUUCUGACAGCUACAUGGAUCACAUGGGACAAUCAGACCAUCCCUGAAGUGUUGUGCUCCCUUCUGGAAAGCGUCCCUUAAAGAUGUGGACGAAAUGGAGUAUGCCCAGAAGAAGAAAUGGGAUGAUAAGAGAUUUGAGAAACCACAUCACAAGAUAAAAAAUUGAAGACCAGAGAAAUCAAGAAGCAUAGACAAGGGUUGAUAACCACUCAUGGAUGACAGCACCUUUAUGAGAGUCCAGUUGUAUACUGGAGAAGUUCCGGCACAACAUUGGAGCAAAAAAUUUGAAAGUACAUGCAUUGAAGAUGGUUAAAAAGAAGAGUUUCACUUUACUUCCAUCACCUCUCCCUCAAGGCAGCAUACCUCAGUGCCCAGACAGAUCCCCCAGGUCCACAAUUCCUUUGGACUGUGAGAACAUAGUGAGUGCUCAGCUUCCACAGGCAUUCAGGAUGCUGCCCAAGAGGGCAACAUUUUUUCUUGUCUGACAUAGAAUACUGACGUGAUCGGCAUAGCUGAGUGGUUGGGAGAGGCUGAGAACAGGGAAUAGAGGCAGAGACUCACAGAAAUUAGGGCCUGAUGUCACCUGAUGUCAACAAAGGGCCACAGAUCCUACCAACCACUUCACAGACUUCAUCAGGAAGCCUGCCCAUGAGGUGCUGAAGACUCCCUGCCUGAUGACCUCCCCACCAAUUGACCCAUAGGCACCUCCAGUGCUCUAUAUUUCUCACCUCCUGCAACCCAUGACUGGCUCCCUAUGCACACUCCCACAGAAGGCAAAUGUCAGCCUCUGUGGAUAGCUCAAGAGCAUGAAUGGUUAGCUGGCCUGACUCCGUGGGACUGGAGGAAGGCGCAUGAACUUGAGCAUUUCAGGGCACCACUCUAAGGAAAAAAAAAAACAGGAGGCUGUCAGCACCUGACCUUUGUGGGAUCAAGAGAAAGCACACAAACUUAAGAAUUUUCUCCUAAGAGGGAGCAAGAAGGUAGUUCUGUUUUAAGUUCUUUGAGAAAUCUCCAAACUGCUUUCCGCAGUGGCUGAACUAAUUUACAUUCCCACCUGCAGUGUAUAAGUGUUCCCUUUUCUCCACAACAUUGCCAGCAUCUGUUAUUGUUUGAUUUUUUGGUAAUAACUAUUUGGACUGGUGUGAGAUGGCAUCUCAUUGUGGUUUCCAUUUGCAUUUCUUAAAUGAUUAGUGAUGUUGAGCAUUUUUUCAUAUGCUUGUUGGCCAUAUGUAUGUCUUCUUAUGAAAAGUGUCUGUUUGUGUCCUUUGCCCACUUUUUAAUGGGGUUGUUUUUUUGCUUGUUAAUUGUUUAAGUUCCUUAUAGAUUCUGGAUAUUAGAUCUUUGUCAUAUGCAUAGUUUGCAAAUAUUUUUUCCCAUCCUGUGGGUUGUCUACUCUGUUGAUAGUUUCUUUUGCUGUGCAGAAGCUUUGCAGUUUAAUUCAUUCUACUGUAAAGACAUCUGCAUUUGUAUGUUUAUUGAAGCAAUAUUCACACUAGCAAAGACAUGGAAUCAACCUAAAUGCCCACCAAUAGUAGACUUGAUUAUGAAAAUUGGAUACAUAUACACCAUGGAAGACCAUGCAGGCACAAAAAAGAACAAGAUCAUGUCCUUUGCAGCAACAUGAAUGGAGCUGGAGGCCAUUUUCCUAAGCAAACUAACACAAGAACAGAAAACCAAAUACCACAUGUUCUCACUUAUAAGUGGAAGCUAAACAUUGAGUACAUAUGGACACAAAGAAGAGAAUAGAUACUGGGGCCUGCUUGAGAGUGGACGGUGGGAGGAGGGUGAGGAUUGAAAAGCUACCUACUGAAUACUACGCUUAUUAUCUGAGUGAUGAAAUAAUCUAUACACCUAACCCCCGUAACGUGCAAUUUACCUGUAUAACAAGCCUGCACAUACUCCUGAACCUAAAAUAAAAGUUAACAAAAACUGAAUUAUUAUAUAAUCUGGCAAUCUCAUUGCUGGAUAUAUUUUUACUCUGCAUAAUUCAAUGGAAAUGCCAUCAGUAUACUGAAGAGAUAUUUUCACCCCUAUGUUAAUUGCAGCCUUAUUCACAAUAGCCAAGAUAAUGGAAUCAACCUCAAUGUCCAUCAACAGAUGAAAGGAUAAAGAAAAUGUGGUAUAUUUACACAGUGGAAUACUAUUCAGCCAUAAUAAGGAAUAAAAUCUUGUCAUUUGUGGCAACAUUUAUAAACCUGGUGGACAUUAAGUGAAAUAAACCAGGCAUAGAAAGACAAAUACCACAUAAGAUCACUCAUAUGUGAAAUUUAAAAAGUUGUUCACAUAGAAGUAGAAAGUACAGUAGUGGUUACCGGAUGAUGGGGAGGGUAGGGGCCUGGGGUAGAUAAGGAGAGUUUGGUGAAUGGGUACAAAGCUACAAUUAUAUAGGUGGAAUAUGUUUUGGUGUUCUAUUGCAUAGUAGGCUGACUAUAGUUAACAAUAAUGUAUUGUAUAUUUCAAGAUAGCUAGAAAAGAAGUAUUUGAAUGUUCUCAUCACAAAGAAAUGACAAAUAUUUAAGGUGAUGGAUGUGCUAAUUACCCUGAUUUGAUCAUUAAACAAUGUAUACAUGUAUCAAAAUAUCACAUUGUAUCCCACAAAUAUGUACAAUUAUUAUGUGCCAAUCAUAAAUAAAAAUAAUGUUGAAAUCAUAGUAUAAAAAAUAAAAUACAUAUGUAUAUGAGG